rnacentral:rRNA from 1 species
AACGAACGCUGGCGGCAUGCCUAACACAUGCAAGUCGAACGUGAUCCGGGGCUUGCUCCGGUGAAAGUGGCGGACGGGUGAGUAACGCGUGGGAACCUGCCCAGUGGUCGGGGAUAACUGCGGGAAACUGCAGCUAAUACCCGGUAAGCCCCAAGGGGGAAAGAUUUAUCGCCAUUGGAGGGGCCCGCGUCGGAUUAGGUAGUUGGUGGGGUAACGGCCUACCAAGCCUACGAUCCGUAGCUGGUCUGAGAGGAUGAUCAGCCACACUGGGACUGAGAUACGGCCCAGACUCCUACGGGAGGCAGCAGUGGGGAAUAUUGGACAAUGGGCGCAAGCCUGAUCCAGCAAUGCCGCGUGAGUGAAGAAGGCCUUAGGGUUGUAAAGCUCUUUCGGCGGGGACGAUGAUGACGGUACCCGCAGAAGAAGCCCCGGCUAACUCCGUGCCAGCCGCCGCCGUAACAC